UCACCCCUUCAUUUACCCUUUCCUUUCCAUGGUUAGCACUUAACCCUGUUUUGAAUGUCAAAUAUUAUCUUUCUUCGAAAUUUUAUCAGCCCAAAAAUCAUCCCAAUCUCAUACCAGCACAUCCCCUGGUGAAAAAAUAAUUAUUUGAUUAUCUAUAAAAAUAAAUUAACUGUGAUGGUUAAAUCACCAUGGUUUGGAAAGUGAGUCGGGACGUUUAACUUAUCAAAUGCAUGCAUCUGUGAUAAUUUUUUCUCAGGAUUUUUUCUUCUGAGGGGUCGAAUGCAUUACAGCCAUGUCUUUGAACGUAAAACUCUAUAAUGUGGACGGACUGACCUUUUUCCUUUUUUUGUGGUUUGAAGACAGAGAAGUGCGGCGAGGAUAGGAUAAGUGAACUGGCAGAUGGGGUAUUGAUUUCAGUCCUUUCCUUUAUGACAAUGAAGGAGGCGAUAAAAACUAGUGUCCUUUCUUGUAGAUGGGAAAAGCUCCGGCCUUCUCAACCCUAUUUGAACCUUGAUGCUUGGACUUUUUCUUGAAGGAUCUGGUCAGUAAAUUCCAUCCUCGAGACUCCCUCUUUAGAAUAUGAAUUGCAUAUUUGCAUGGAUGCAGCAUUUUGUGGCUCUAAUCGCGUAUCCUUCUGGAAUUUGGCAGCAUAAAUAGAACACACUGAAUCUUGUUGUCUUAGUUUAACUCAGAAUUACAAAGGGAAAAGGACUUUUGAAACUCCCUCCAGAGCCUCCUCGGAGUAGAAACUGGCGGGGCAGCCUAGUGACACCUUUUGCUGGUAACAACAUGCUGGUCUUGCUUAGCUGUCCAGCAAACCCGGCAAGCACGUCCUUUUGUCCAAGUACUCCACAAUGAGCGUCCCAUUGCAUGCUGAUUUUAAGGUACUAGCAGUAUCCAACUCAGAGAAGAAGUCUGCAUCAAGCAAGUUAUCACUGCAGGCCAAGUGGCUUACAUCCUGAGACUGACGAUUCAAAGUCCACCAAAGUUGAAUAACCGUUCGUUUUUUAGGGAUCAAAGAAAGUAGAAUUCUAGCGCUCCUCCGUGUGUUAUUUUAGCCGAGGCCAGUUCGUUUUUGGAUUGAUCUUAAUGUCUCACGGCUUUGGCAUUUGUUUUACUGCUCCACUCUAUACUCUGAUUCAGUAGCUUUUUUCAGACACAUCAGUGGCUUUAGUUUAAUAUCAUCAUCCUUUAUGAGA